rnacentral:rRNA from 1 species
GCAAUCUGCCACUUAUGGAUGGACCUACGGCGCAUUAGCUAGUUGGUGGGGUAACGGCUCACCAAGGCGACGAUGCGUAGCCGACCUGAGAGGGUGAUCGGCCACACUGGGACUGAGACACGGCCCACACUCCUACGGGAGGCAGCAGUAGGGAAUCUUCCGCAAUGGACGCAAGUCUGACGGAGCAACGCCGCGUGAGUGAUGAAGGUUUUCGGAUCGUAAAGCUCUGUUGCCAGGGAAGAACGCUAUGGAGAGUAACUGUUCCAUAGGUGACGGUACCUGAGAAAAAAGCCCCGGCUAACUACGUGCCAGCAGCCGCGGUAAUACGUAGGGGGCAAGCGUUGUCCGGAAUUAUUGGGCGUAAAGCGCGCGCAGGCGGUCAUGUAAGUCUGGUGUUUAAACCCGGGGCUCAACUCCGGGUCGCAUCGGAAACUGUGUGACUUGAGUGCAGAAGAGGAAAGUGGAAUUCCACGUGUAGCGGUGAAAUGCGUAGAGAUGUGGAGGAACACCAGUGGCGAAGGCGACUUUCUGGGCUGUAACUGACGCUGAGGCGCGAAAAGCGUGGGGAGCAAACAGGGAUUAUA